rnacentral:rRNA from 1 species
CUUGUACUGUGAAACUGCGAAUGGCUCAUUAAAUCAGUUAUCGUUUAUUUGAUAGUACCUUACUACAUGGAUACCUGUGGUAAUUCUAGAGCUAAUACAUGCUAAAAACCCCGACUUCAGGAAGGGGUGUAUUUAUUAGAUAAAAAACCAACGCCCUUCGGGGCUCCUUGGUGAAUCAUAAUAACUUAACGAAUCGCAUGGCCUUGCGCCGGCGAUGGUUCAUUCAAAUUUCUGCCCUAUCAACUUUCGAUGGUAGGAUAGUGGCCUACCAUGGUGGCAACGGGUAACGGGGAAUUAGGGUUCGAUUCCGGAGAGGGAGCCUGAGAAACGGCUACCACAUCCAAGGAAGGCAGCAGGCGCGCAAAUUACCCAAUCCCGAUACGGGGAGGUAGUGACAAUAAAUACUGAUACGGGGCUCUUUUGGGUCUCGUAAUUGGAAUGAGAACAAUUUAAAUCCCUUAACGAGGAACAAUUGGAGGGCAAGUCUGGUGCCAGCAGCCGCGGUAAUUCCAGCUCCAAUAGCGUAUAUUAAAGUUGUUGCAGUUAAAAAGCUCGUAGUUGAACCUUGGGCCUGGCUGGCCGGUCCGCCUCACCGCGAGUACUGGUCCGGCUGGGCCUUUCCUUCUGGGGAACCUCAUGGCCUUCACUGGCUGUGGGGGGAACCAGGACUUUUACUGUGAAAAAAUUAGAGUGUUCAAAGCAGGCCUUUGCUCGAAUACAUUAGCAUGGAAUAAUAGAAUAGGACGUGUGGUUCUAUUUUGUUGGUUUCUAGGACCGCCGUAAUGAUUAAUAGGGAUAGUCGGGGGCGUCAGUAUUCAGCUGUCAGAGGUGAAAUUCUUGGAUUUGCUGAAGACUAACUACUGCGAAAGCAUUCGCCAAGGAUGUUUUCAUUAAUCAGGGAACGAAAGUUAGGGGAUCGAAGACGAUCAGAUACCGUCGUAGUCUUAACCAUAAACUAUGCCGACUAGGGAUCGGACGGGAUUCUAUAAUGACCCGUUCGGCACCUUACGAGAAAUCAAAGUUU